rnacentral:rRNA from 1 species
CCUACGGGUUGCAGCAGUGGGGAAUUUUGGACAAUGGGCGCAAGCCUGAUCCAGCCAUGCCGCGUGCAGGAUGAAGGCCUACGGGUUGUAAACUGCUUUUGUACGGAACGAAAAGACUCUGGUUAAUACCUGGGGUCCAUGACGGUACCGUAAGAAUAAGCACCGGCUAACUACGUGCCAGCAGCCGCGGUAGUACGUAGGGUGCGAGCGUUAAUCGGAAUUACUGGGCGUAAAGCGUGCGCAGGCGGUUAUAUAAGACAGAUGUGAAAUCCCCGGGCUCAACCUGGGAACUGCAUUUGUGACUGUAUAGCUAGAGUACGGCAGAGGGGGAUGGAAUUCCGCGUGUAGCAGUGAAAUGCGUAGAUAUGCGGAGGAACACCGAUGGCGAAGGCAAUCCCCUGGGCCUGUACUGACGCUCAUGCACGAAAGCGUGGGGAGCAAACAGGAUUAGAUACCCGAGUAGUC